UACCUUGCCCUUCUUAACAAUUUAAUUGAGUUUUUCGAAAUAAAAAUAUAGGGAGAGAAGAUGGCAAAUGGUCUCUUGGCCAGGUAUGGCCACAAUGAAGAGGUAUUCUUAGGCCUUUGUUUAUGUUAAUCUUUCAGGAGAAUAGUAAAAUAUGGGGAUAUUGAAGAGUCAAGCUAGAUAAUAAGUGGUGAUUUCUUUAAAAUUUAUUAGUAACUAUUGUUGGUCUCUAUACAAGACUUCAAAAUGCAUGACCAUAUCUAAUUAAUUCUAUCAGUAGUUGAACAUUUCUGAGAGCAAAACAAAUUUCUUUUUCAAAUUAAUUACUGAGACCAUUUGUGCCUAGCAUAUACUAGCAGCAUACAUGACACAAUACAAAAAAAGCACCUGAAGUUAGAGGUGGAUUUUUUUCAUGAAGUAAUUUUAAAUUAUGAGGUGGAAAUGGUUAUCAAUAUUUUUGGGAGUCUUUAGCAGUGGCAAAAUGUGCCAAGUGAUAUGAUUCUUUGGAUUAUAUUGUGUGUAAGCUUACAGAAUUGUUCAGAAGUCAGAAUAGCUCCUGCUUUUCUAGUGUUUCAUAAUUGGUGUUAAAUAAUUCCCAAGCUUUUAACCAAUAAUCUGCUUUGCAUCUGUUUUCUUUCUAAAGUGUAAGAAUCAUGGUGGCCCUUUCUAAAAGUGACACUUGUUGCUUAUCCUUUACUGCCUUUUUUUUUUUUUUUAAUUAAUAGUGUGGGUUUUUAUUUCUUUCAAGCAAUUAGUAUUGUUUUGUGCCAUGUUUCCUUAAUUUGUGAUUUUCUGAAUUUAUAAGGUUGACAGUGGUGAUUGUUAAUGAGCUUUGGCUUUGCUUAUUACUGGGCAGUCUUGAUAUAUUAGUUUUUCAGUGUGUGAAACAGUGUCUGUUUUGUAUUCACUGAAAACUAUACUCUCCUUUCUCCUUGCUUAACUUGCUAAAAAAGCAAAAACAAAAACACCACUUCCUACCUGUGCAAUCCCUAAACAGUGCUUUGCUGGCUGGGGGGGUGGGGAGUGGGAUGUUAUGGUUCAGUCCCUGUAGCCCUGCAUUUGGACUCCUGCGUUACUGCACACUGGGAUCUGAGAUUGUUCAGUGUUGUGAGUGGCAAAUUCUUUAACACCAGCAGCACCGAAAAGUGCACUAUGGGCAUUCGUACAGUUGUCCAAAUGCAGGCUGUCUUCUUGUAUUCAGGAGAAACUGAAGAUUAGAGUUCUGUAGGAAUUACUAUUAGUUUUUUUGAAAGCAAUGAAUAUUUAUUAUUAUUUUUAUUGUUAUUGUUUAUUUUUGCCUUUUUUUUUUUUUUUUUUUUUUCCCUUGCUGAAUAGACCAGGCACUGGAAAAACAAAACCAUGGAUAAUUUUUUUUUUCCUCCAUUGUGAUCUUUUUCAACUCUUAUUCAAAAGUGCCAACAUAUUGUUCCCAUGAAGCCAGCUGGCCUCUCCAACUUCUUACCCUUGGGUGUGAGGAGAAAAUGGGACCUUUCUUUUUUCAUUGCCUAACAUUGAAGAAUUAAUGUUGUGCACAGUUGAGUCAUUUUUGUGGAUUGUAAAGUGUUGUGUAACUAUGGGUAGCUGUUGGUUGGAAAGCCAAGCACAGAACUUUAGAACUGAAUAAGUUUUCAAAGCACUUGCAGAUUCUACUGACCUAGUAAUCCAAAGUCUAAAGGAUUUUAAAAAUUAAUGCUUUGAUUUUUAGGGAAAAGAAAAGCCCCAGUUUGUUAUAAAAUGUUCUAUUAAUCUGUUUUUAAAAUUAGCUUUUUUUAAAAAAAAAUUUUAAAAAGUGGAAAUAAAGUUGAAUGAAGUGCCAUGUAAAUUGUAGCUUGCUAGUUUUCUCUUAAAUAGAAUGGAUCUAUGGGGUUAUCAUUUCAAUACUCUGUGUCAUCUCUGGAGGAACAAUGUUUCUUUUUUGUUGAACACUCAGACUAAAUCACCAGCUGCUUUAUUUUUCUAUUUAUUACAUUUAUCCAGUUUAUGAGGUCUCAAAACUAUUGACCACCACGCUGCUCAGCCAAGGUAUUUUUCACAGUGGACACUGUACAACAUGUGCGUGCAAGAGGACACAGUUGAGUCUUGGUAUUUUUUUAUUAAUGUGAAAAAUGACUAAACAAAGCAGUCCUGCCUUUUCAAAUCUUGUGGCAGCUCAGAAGGGAGGUGCUUAUGAACCUUAACUACUAUGUCAGAUGACAAAAUACUUUUUUUUCCACUUUGGAGAUUGGGUACUGCUCACACAUGAUGUAUAGGGCUAAAUAUCUGCUUGUUUCCUUGCACCUGUGUACUUUUCCCUUCUGUCCCUGCCCUCUCUUUACCCUGUAGGCAAUAAAUGG
ensembl:lncRNA